CCGCCACUAGCUCAGCAGGAUAGAGCCGGUGACACACUGAUGUUGCAGGUGCGGGGUUCGAGGCCCCGGUGGCGGUCCA
rnacentral:tRNA from 1 species